rnacentral:rRNA from 1 species
ACCCGUGACUACCUAACACUGUUGCUUCGGCGGGGAGCCCUCUCGGGGGCGAGCCGCCGGGGACUACUGAACUUCAUGCCUGAGAGUGAUGCAGUCUGAGUCUGAAUAUAAAAUCAGUCAAAACUUUCAACAAUGGAUCUCUUGGUUCCGGCAUCGAUGAAGAACGCAGCGAACUGCGAUAAGUAAUGUGAAUUGCAGAAUUCAGUGAAUCAUCGAGUCUUUGAACGCACAUUGCGCCCCCUGGCAUUCCGGGGGGCAUGCCUGUCCGAGCGUCAUUGCUGCCCAUCAAGCCCGGCUUGUGUGUUGGGUCGUCGUCCCCCCCGGGGGACGGGCCCGAAAGGCAGCGGCGGCACCGUGUCCGGUCCUCGAGCGUAUGGGGCUUUGUCACCCGCUCGAUUAGGGCCGGCCGGGCGCCAGCCGACGUCUCCAACCAUUUUCUUCAGGUUGACCUCGGAUCAGGUAGGGAUACCCGCUGAACUUAAGCAUAUCAAUAAGCGGAG